GAUGAACGCUAGCGGCGGGCUUAAUACAUGCAAGUCAAGGGGUAGCAAUACACCGGCGUACGGGUGCGUAACGCGUAUGGAACCUGCCCUUAUCUGGGGGAUAACUCGGGGAAACUCGAGCUAAUACCGCAUAAGAUAGUAGAGUGGCAUCACUCAGCUAUUAAAGAUUUAUCGGAUAAGGAUGGCCAUGCGUAAGAUUAGAUAGUUGGCGAGGUAACGGCUCACCAAGUCUGCGAUCUCUAGGGGCUCUGAGAGGAGAAUCCCCCACACUGGCACUGAGAUACGGGCCAGACUCCUACGGGAGGCAGCAGUAGGGAAUAUUGGGCAAUGGGCGGAAGCCUGACCCAGCCACGCCGCGUGCAGGAAGACGGCCCUCUGGGUUGUAAACUGCUUUUAACUGGGAAGAAAGCAGCUCAUGCGUGAGAAUUUGACGGUACCAGUUGAAUAAGCCACGGCUAACUACGUGCCAGCCGCCGCGGUAAGAC
rnacentral:rRNA from 1 species